UACAAAGUGGUAAAGCUAAAAACUGAAAAAAGAGAAACGUAGGGAUAAUUUAGUUCCAAUCAGGAUUAUUAGUUACUGUUUGCCUUUUUUUUCUUUUUUAUUUUUAAAAUUCAACUUGACAGUUACUUUAGGAAGUCAGAAAAAAAAAAAGACAACUAAUCCUAACCCACCGUGAAUCCCGCGUUCAACUCCCACUUCCCCAUUUACCCCUUAAUCUGCACCAUGCUCACACAAAUAAACAUAAGUCAUCGCCUGCACAAAAAGAUAUAUACACGACACACAUAAACAAAAUGCAUAGAGAGAACAAAGCAUAUUCACGGAAAGGGAAAAAAAAAAAAAACAAUCCGGGAUAACCAAUCAUCAGUUUACAGAAAACAUCAAAGAAGAAAACCACUCAGAUUUCUGAAUUCUUACUCAAAGUUCAGGAGUUUUUCUUUCCGUUUAUUUCGUAUACAGAAGAUGGCUCAUAUGUUCAGACUCUGCGCUCUCAAGCUUGACAAUGUCUGUGAAUUCAGAAUUCGAGCUUGAGAAUAGCGGCUUCAGAUUCUCUGUCACAAGUACCAAGGCCUGAGCAUGUGGUCUGUUUCAUAUUUGCUAACUAUAGUGCAAUCUUUUUACAGUUUAUUCGUUGAAAUGUGACUGCCUUCUUGAAAAUUUAGGUCCUACAUAAAGUGUAAGCAAUUCUUAUUUAAGCUAUAAUGUUAGGGUCAAAGUAUUAUUUCAUGAUGACUUUGUUAAAUAUAUAUCAUGAGUUCUUCUUUGUGGAUACAAUUGACUUAUCACAGAAUUGAUUUCUUUUGUUUGAAUAAAUGAAGAGGGUAACUGUCCUAUGUUAUCCUCUGAUCUUGAUUUUGGAAUUGUCAUUUUUGUUUUUUGUUUAUAGUGACAACUCAAAUAACAACGCAUAAUAUAAUGAGAUUAACUAAGAUGUGCGCUCUUGACGCUAUCUACGCUUGAGGCAUUAAAUUCUUUGCCUUUUUGUCUUAGUAAUUUUCUAGGAAACAUAUUUGAAUAAGACACCUACUCAGCGUCAAUAGAGAUAGUCUUAAUAGAUCGUUGAGAUAUGCAUCUUUGCAUGAUAGUAUUAAGACACAGUUGUCUGAAAAUAAUUCGAAGUUCUAUAAUGGAACUUGCUUCUUUACUUAUUUGAGUCAAAAUUGAAUUGACAUUAAAAAGCAUUCUAGCGGGUUGUCCAGGAUUAGAUUGCCCAGAUAGUGGAGACAGCACGACAAGAAGUACAUUUGGUGAAGUAGUAGUAAUAUGCGGAAGCAAUGGGUGAUGAGCCCCAAAGGCUAUAACUUGAUGGCAACGGAUUGCAGGGCAGAUUCAUAUGGAAAGUUAUAACAACAAAUAUUGACAGUGCUGUAUUAGAAGAGAGUAAUACUCUUUUGAAAAGUAGAUGGCGCUUUUGGUAGCAACGGCCAACGGAGGAUCAAGAAAGCAAGAAAUGGUGCAGCAAUAGCUAUAAUCCUUAUAGGUUAGUGCGUGGAGAUGACAACAAUUUUCUAGAGAAUACAACAAGCUUUUUGUGAAAAUUGACUCAUCAGAAGUUUUCCCAGUUAAACUUCUGUUCCGAUUGGUUUGGUAUUUUCUGGCCAAGUGUGUGAAAGGUGUUAAGCAGGUAAAAGGGUUUCAACUGAUAGUAGAGUUGUAUGCCACAAUAACUUUGCUAGAUCAAGGCAGAGGAAUUUAAAGGAGGGAAAGAGGUUAUCUAGAAAGUUUUACCUCUAUGUAACAACCAAUUUGAUA